rnacentral:rRNA from 1 species
UGCCAGCAGCCGCGGUAAUACGAAGGUGGCGAGCGUUGUUCGGAAUCACUGGGCUUAAAGCGCAUGUAGGCGGCUAUGUAAGCGUCGGGUGAAAUCCCUCGGCUCAACCGAGGAACGGCUUGGCGAACUACAUGGCUUGAGGCAGGUAGGGGUGUGUGGAACUCUUGGUGGAGCGGUGAAAUGCGUAGAUAUCAAGAGGAACGCCGGCGGCGAAAGCGGCACACUGGGCCUGUCCUGACGCUGAGAUGCGAAGGCUAGGGUAGCGAACGGGAUUAGAUA